UGUCCCAUGGCUAAGUUGGUUAAGGCGGUCGACUGUUAAUCGGACGGUCGUGAGUUCGAGUCUCACUGGGACAG
rnacentral:tRNA from 2 species